rnacentral:rRNA from 1 species
UACGAAGGGUGCAAGCGUUAAUCGGAAUUACUGGGCGUAAAGCGCGCGUAGGUGGUUCAGUAAGUUGGAAGUGAAAUCCCCGGGCUCAACCUGGGAACUGCUUUCAAAACUGCUGAGCUAGAGUACGGUAGAGGGUGGUGGAAUUUCCUGUGUAGCGAUGAAAUGCGUAGAUAUAGGAAGGAACACCAGUGGCGAAGGCGACCACCUGGACUGAUACUGACACUGAGGUGCGAAAGCGUGGGGAGCAAACAGG